GACGAACGCUGGCGGCGUGCUUAACACAUGCAGGUCGAGCGGUAAGGCCCUUUCGGGGGUACACGAGCGGCGAACGGGUGAGUAACACGUGGGUGACCUGCCCUCAGCUCUGGGAUAAGCCUGGGAAACCGGGUCUAAUACCGGAUAUGACUCCAUGACGCAUGUUGUGGGGUGGAAAGCCUUGUGCGGCUGAGGAUGGGCCCGCGGCCUAUCAGCUUGUUGGUGGGGUGAUGGCCUACCAAGGCGACGACGGGUAGCCGGCCUGAGAGGGCGACCGGCCACACUGGGACUGAGACACGGCCCAGACUCCUACGGGAGGCAGCAGUGGGGAAUCUUGCGCAAUGGGCGAAAGCCUGACGCAGCGACGCCGCGUGAGGGAUGACGGCCUGGU
rnacentral:rRNA from 1 species